AGCGAACGCUGGCGGCAGGCCUAACACAUGCAAGUCGAACGAAGUCUUCGGGCUUAGUGGCGGACGGGUGAGUAACACGUGGGAACGUACCUUUUGGUUCGGAACAACUCAGGGAAACUUGAGCUAAUACCGGAUGAGCCCUUAGGGGGAAAGAUUUAUCGCCGAAAGAGCGGCCCGCGUUAGAUUAGCUAGUUGGUGAGGUAAAGGCCCACCAAGGCUACGAUCUAUAGCUGGUCUGAGAGGAUGAUCAGCCACACUGGGACUGAGACACGGCCCAGACUCCUACGGGAGGCAGCAGUGGGGAAUCUUGCGCAAUGGGCGAAAGCCUGACGCAGCCAUGCCGCGUGAAUGAUGAAGGUCUUAGGAUUGUAAAAUUCUUUUACCAGGGACGAUAAUGACGGUACCUGGAGAAAAAGCCCCGGCUAACUUCGUGCCAGCCGCCGCGGUAACAC
rnacentral:rRNA from 1 species